ensembl:lncRNA
UGUGGUGGUGUGUGGUGGGGUGUGGAGGUGGUGUGUGGAGGUGGUGUAGGGGGGUGUGGAGGUGUGUAGUGGUGUGUGGAGGUGGUGUAGUGGUGUGUGGAGGUGGGUGUAGUGGUGUGUGGAGGUGGUGUAGUGGGGUGUGGAGGUGGUGUAGUGGGGUGUGGAGGUGGUGUAGUGGGGUGUGGAGGUGGUGUAGUGGUGUGUGGAGGUGUGUAGUGGUGUGUGGAGGUGGUGUAGUGGGGUGUGGAGGCGUGUGGAGGUGUUGUAGUGGGGUGUGGAGGUGGUGUAGUGGGGGUGUGGAGGCGUGUGGAGGUGUGUGGAGGUGGUGUAGUGGUGUGUGGAGGUGGUGUAGUGGUGUGUGGAGGUGUGUGGAGGCGUGUGGAGGUGGUGUAGUGGUGUGUGGUGGUGGUGUGUGGAGGUGGUGUAGUGUGGAGGUGGUGUAGUGGGGUGUGGUGGUGUGUGGAGGUGGUGUAGUGGGGUGUGGUGGUGUAGUGGGGUGUGGGUGUGGAGGGAUAAGAUGAGAUGAGUUCUGUUCUGAUGAGAUGAGAUCUGUUCAGAUGAGAUGAAAUGAG